UCCAUAUAUGGGAAGCCGGAAGCUGAGAGCGCGAUAGAUAGAUUUUUUUCUUGGAGGCUUGAAAUUGUUUACAAUUUUUCAUUUGUUAAAAGUAGACGAGAGUAAACAAACACUGAUAUAGCUUUUCAUCUACAACGCACUUAUAAAUCUGGAACCGCUUUGCUUCUAUGCGACAGGUGAAAAUCCCAUGCAGAAGAAAGAAAUUCAUGCAGGUUUGGAACAACUUGAGGAAUGCACAAGAUGACACAUCAAGACUUCUCCCUUUAUUGACUGUAACUGACAUCUUCAUCCGAUUGCCUGCGUCUUUCCUUCCUCCAUUGUUGGUGCUCUCAUCUGUGGUGUUUCCACACGGUUGCGUGGCGGUGCGCUGGGAUUUCACAGCGUUCUGACUCAAGCUGACACCGUGACAGGCGAGCAGAGUUGUUUUUCAUUACGGUGUGAGCCGUUGCAGUAAAUACGGCGCUCCUCAGACUGCGGACCUGGGCUGAACCGCUGACCCCUGCAUCUCAAACGCCAGUCCCAAGGUCCCUUGCCUCCAAGGCCUCCCUCUGUGCGGCUGUGGCCGGAGUGCGGCCUCUGUAAUUCACCCGCUUGCUAGAUCGCCUGCCAGCAAGUAUUGAUUUUUGUUUCCCCAAUCUCCAGGAGAGAGGGCAAGAAAAGAUUAAAAACACUUUGUCAGUUUGGUGGGGAAUAAGAAUUCCACGCAGGGGAUACCUUGGAGUGUGAAGGGUCAGGGCUGAGGUACAUCUUUAUGGCCUUAACUCCUUCCUGACUAGAGACAUUUUGCUCAGGCUCCUGCAGCUUUCUUCCUUCUCCUCUGUCCUCCCCAUUUUUUUCUAUUUGUGCUUUCCCCUUUCUUUUAUAUUACCUUAUUGUGUGGAGGAAAUAUUUAGCCAACAGGGAAUUGGCCUCAUCAUUAUUAGGUUAUUAAAUGUGGCUGCAUAUGAGAGAUGAAAACUUCCUGCAGAGAAGGCGACCUGCUUAGUGUUUGUGGUGUUGAAUGCACCGUAAAUCAAGUAAAUAAUUUUGCUGGACAAACGCUGACCCCAGGUGUUGAUUAAGGGCUGAUUGAGACAUCAUUCUGAGCAGGGGAACUGUGACCACCCACUUUUUCCCCACUUGGUCUCAGAACUAUUUUUCCCAUUUUUUUUAUAUGCAUUUAGAAAAGAAAAAAAAAUCA